AAGUAAGCCCUAAAUUUUUACUUUCCCCUUUUCACUCCCUCUGUUAAAAAAAUUCCUCUUUCUCUCUCCAAUAUUGAAGCAGCUCCCACGCGUUUUGCUCCUCUCAUUCUCUCUCUUCUCCUCCAUUGAAGCGCACUUUGAGUUCUCCAUUAUUGAAGCGCACUCCGAGUUCUCCAUUAUUGAAGCGCACUCCGAGUUCUCCAUUGAAGCGCACUCCGAGUUCUCCAUUAGUGAAGCGCACUCCGAGUUCUCCAUUGAAGCGCUGUAUGAGUUCUCCAUUGAAGCGCUGUCUGAGUUCUCCAUUGAAGCGCUCAUAGUUCUCCAUUAAAGCUUGCCCUGCGCAUGAUAAGCUUUGGAUGUGAUUACCACUGGGCAUAAAAAGAUUCUCGCUUUGAUCAAGAGAUUCUGUGUGAUUGUUUUUAUCAGAGGGGAAGAUACUUGUUGAAGACAUUGUUAGGCUAGGCAGUCAGAAGCAUGGUGAGGAAGCUGAAUCUGAAAGAUGAAUAGAUUCAAGAUUUAUCCACUUUAGAAGUAAAUAUUUAUUGAAUGCUUAACUAUUAGCUUAGGUAGAACAACGUAAUAUUUUUAGUGUUGUUGUAUAUGUUGGAUAAAUUUAUACAAGUUUUUAUUUGUAAUGUGUUACUACUUCAGUUUUUAUAUUACGUCGUAUUAAUUUUUA